GCCUACGGGGGGCAGCAGUGAGGAAUAUUGGUCAAUGGGCGAGAGCCUGAACCAGCCAAGUCGCGUGAGGGAAGACGGUCCUAUGGAUUGUAAACCUCUUUUGCCGGGGAGCAAAAAGCGGUACGUGUACCGCAUCGAGAGUACCCGGAGAAAAAGCAUCGGCUAACUCCGUGCCAGCAGCCGCGGUAAUACGGAGGAUGCGAGCGUUAUCCGGAUUUAUUGGGUUUAAAGGGUGCGUAGGCGGGUUAUCAAGUCAGCGGUAAAAUCGUGGAGCUCAACUCCAUCCAGCCGUUGAAACUGAUGAU
rnacentral:rRNA from 1 species